rnacentral:lncRNA from 1 species
GGAAGAUGGUGAUGGUGAUGCUGGGUAAGGGUGGAGAUCAUUAAUAAAAGGCAAAGAUGCAAACAGAGGAGGAUGACGAAGAAAGAGGAAUACCAGAAUUUAGUUUUGCAGGUGCAAAUUUUCCACGUAAUGAAAUUAUUUAAAAUGACAAAUUAACCCCUGAACAGCUCGGCACAGCUAGACGGAGUUAGUGAGAAGUUAACGGAGAGGACUUGAUUGCCUCAAAUUAACAAAUAUUUUGAUUCAAUUGGGACAAAAAUAAACAUGAGGACCCAAUUGAGAAUUG